ACUCAAAUGAAUUGACGGGGACCCGCACAAGCGGUGGAGCAUGUGGUUUAAUUCGAUACUAACCGAAGAACCUUACCCAGAUUUGACAUCGAUGGCAAGCCAAAGAAAUUUGGCCCUCCCCACAAGGGACCUGAAGACACUUGUUGCAUGGCUGUCGUCAGCUCGUGCCGUGAGGUGUACGGUUAAGUCCGCCAACGAGCGCAACCCACGUCCUGUGUUACCAGCGAGAGAGUCGGGCACUUACAGGAGACCGCCGGUGUAAGCCGGAGGAAGGUGUGGAUGACGUCAAGUCAGCAUGGCAGUUACAUCUGGGGCUACACACAUGCUACAAUGGGCGAAACAAAGGGCAGCAAUACCGUGAGGUGGAGCAAAUCCCAAAAAUACGCCCUCAGUUCAGAUUAUAGUCUGCAACUCGACUAUAUGAAGGCGGAAUCGCUAGUAAACGCAGGUCAGCUAUACUGCGUUGAAUACGUUCCCGGGUCUUGUACACACCGCCCGU
rnacentral:rRNA from 1 species